rnacentral:rRNA from 1 species
GACGAACGCUGGCGGCGUGCCUAAUACAUGCAAGUCGAACGAGAGCGACCGGUGCUUGCACUGGUCACUCUAGUGGCGAACGGGUGAGUAACACGUGGGUAACCUGCCCAUCAGAGGGGGAUAACAUUCGGAAACGGAUGCUAAAACCGCAUAGGUCUUCGAACCGCAUGGUUUGAAGAGGAAAAGAGGCGCAAGCUUCUGCUGAUGGAUGGACCCGCGGUGCAUUAGCUAGUUGGUGAGGUAACGGCUUACCAAGGCCGUGAUGCAUAGCCGACCUGAGAGGGUGAUCGGCCACAUUGGGAAUGAGACACGGCCCAAACUCCUACGGGAGGCAGCAGUAGGGAAUUUUCCGGAAUGGACGGAAGUCUGACGGAGCAACGCCGCGGGGGUGAAGAAGGGUUUCGGAUCGUAAAACCCUGUUGUUAGAGAAGAAUAAGUGCUAGAGUAACUGUUAGCGCCUUGACGGGAUCUAACCAGAAAGGCACGGCUAACUACGUG